UACGGAGGGUGCAAACGUUGCUCGGAAUCACUGGGCGUAAAGCGCACGUAGGCGGCUCGAAAAGUCGGAUGUGAAAGCCCUGGGCUCAACCUAGGAAGUGCAUUCGAAACUGCCGAGCUUGAGUACGGGAGAGGGUUGCGGAAUUCCCGGUGUAGAGGUGAAAUUCGUAGGUAUCGGGAGGAACACCAGUGGCGAAGGCGGCAGCCUGGACCGAUACUGACGCUGAGGUGCGAAAGCGUGGGGAGCAAACAGG
rnacentral:rRNA from 1 species